rnacentral:tRNA from 1 species
GGGGUUGUGGCUCAGUGGUAGAGCACUUGUCUUGCAUGUGUGAGGCACUGGGUUCAAUCCUCAGCAUCACAA